AGGAUGUAAACAUGACUGAUGCCGUGAUAACAUAGCUGAAGUCGACGUACUAAGAUCUACUUUCCGUGGUGUCUUCACUGCAGUAGGUCAACUGCUAACGCUCCCCCAUCGAAUUCUCCUACAUUUCUCUCUCUGGUGAAGUACCGGAGUCGACGGAGAGCGCUCGAUUUAUCGCGUCUUCACUAGACGCAAUAAAUUGACCCCACUGGAUUGAUUGCUCCGGAGAUUGAAACAACUGACUGAGAGCUAUAAUCAGUUCAGUAGGCUAGAGACUGUUGACAGAUUGCUGAACCACCGAAGAUCACUCUCCUUCAUCCCAGUGGAAAAAAUGACACCAAUAAGGACAUUGGGGUUGAUACAGUGUUGCAGGUAGCUCGUCUCCAGAUGCCAGGAGUUGCCAAGGUAGAAAUUAAUCUCUCUCCUUUGUCAUUUGAUCAUAACCAACAUGUAAAACAUGAAUUAUUUAAAUUGUUUUCACAUAUGGAAUCAUUGAACAGAGUAUGAUAAGACAGCUCUUCCACCUUAUAAUUUCAUGACCUUUAUUUUACGCACUGAGCUGAGGAAUAGGUUUCUUUAAAUUUAAAAGAGACACUUUAAAGCUUAUAUCCAUUUUAUUUUAAACUUCUUUUACAUUAGAAUUCACCUCCAAAUCUCCCAACCCUCACUGCUAUCCAGAGGGCCCAUUUUCUUCCUUUUUAUUUCCCUGUCUGAUAUCUAGCACCGAAAGGAUUGAAAUGUGACUGUGAUUAUCAAACCAGAGAAGAGAAAUCCAAUUAUCCUGGAACUUUUAGACAACAAGUACAGGUAACAACGAUCUUGUGAUACAUUUGGCAAUUUUACAAAAUAAAAUGAAAGGGCUAUCUUAA